CUUCAGUCUGCUAAAUCCAUAUACAAACCCAUUUAAUUGAACUGAAUGUAAAUUGAUGUAACGCAUCUUUAAACUAAGUUUCAACAACGGAUCUCUUGGCUCUCGCAUUGAUGAAGAACGCAGCGAAAUGCGAUAAGUAAUGUGAAUUGCAGAAUUCAGUGAAUCAUCGAAUCUUUGAACGCACCUUGCGCUCCUUGGUAUUCCUUGGAGCAUGCCUGUUUGAGUAUCAUGAAAUUCUCAAAGUAAACCUUUUGUUAAUUCAACUGGUCUUUGCUUUGGAUUUGGAGGCCUUUGCAGAUGUCACAGUCUGCUCCUCUUAAAUAAAUUAGCUGGAUCUCAGUAUACACUUGGUUCCACUCGGCGUGAUAAGUAUCACUCGCUGAGGACACUGUUAAAAAGGUGGCCAGGCAAUGCAGAUGAACCGCUUCUAAUAGUCCAUUGACUUGGACAAAUUAAAAAUUUAUGAUCUGAUCUCAAAUCAGGUAGGACUACCCGCUGAACUUAAGCAUAUCAAUAA
rnacentral:rRNA from 1 species